CCUGCCAAUAGUCAUAUGCUUGUCUCAAAGAUUAAGCCAUGCAUGUGUAAGUAUGAACUAAUUCAGACUGUGAAACUACGAAUGGCUCAUUAAAUCAGUUAUAGUUUGUUUGAUGGUAUCUACUACUCGGAUAACCGUAGUAAUUCUAGAGCUAAUGCGUGCAACAAACACUGACUUCUAGAAGGGAUGCAUUUAUUAGAUAAAAGGUCGACACGGGCUAUGCCCGUUGCUCUGAUGAUUCAUGAUAACUCGACGGAUCACACGGCCUUUGUGCCGGUGACGCAUCAUUCAAAUUUUUGCCCUAUCAACUUUCGAUGGUAGGAUAGUGGCGUACUAUGGUGGUGACGAGUGACGAAGAAUUAGGGUUUGAUUCUGGAGAAGGAGCUGAGAAACGGCUUCCACAUCCAAGGAAGGCAGCAGGUGCACAAAUUACCCAAUCUUGACAUGGAGAGGUAGUGACAAUAAAUAACAAUACCGGGCUCUAUGAGUCUGGUAAUUGGAAUGAGUACAAUCUAAAUCCUUUAACGAGGAUCCAUUGGAGGGCAAGUCUGGUGCCAGCAGCCACGGUAAUUCCAGCUCCAAUAGCAUAUAUUUAAGUUGUUGCAGUUAAAAAGCAUGUAGUUAGAAAUAGGGUUGGGUCGUCCGAUCUCCCUCACGAUGAACACCGAUCUACUCGUCCCUACUGCCAGUGAUGCACUCCUGGACUUAAUUACCCGGGUUAUUCCUCUGACACUGUUACUUUGAAAAAAUUAGAGUGCUCAAAGCAAGCCUAUGCUUGUAUACAUUAGCAUGGGAUAACAUCAUAGGAUUUCGAUCUUAUUGUGUUGGCCUUCGAGAUCGAAGUAAUGAUUAACUGGGAUAGUCGGGGGCAUUCGUAUUUCAUAGUCAAAGGUGAAAUUCUUGGAUUUAUGAAAGAUGAACAACUGCGAAAGCAUUUGCCAAGGAUGGUUUCAUUAAUCAAGAACGAAAGUUGAAGGCUCGAAGAUGAUCAGAUACCGUCCUAGUCCCAACCAUAAACGAUGCCGACCAGGGAUCGACGGAUGUUGCUUUUAGGACUCUGCCGGCACCUUAUGAGAAAUCAAAGUCUUUGGGUUCCGGAGGGAGUAUGGUUACAAGGCUGAAACUUAAAGGAAUUGACGAAAGGGCACCACUAGGAAUGGAGCCUGCGGCUUAAUUUGACUCAACACGGGGAAACUUACCAGGUCCAGACAUAGUAAGGAUUGAUAGACUGAGAGCUCUUUCUUGAUUCUAUGGGUGGUGGUGCAUGGUCGUUCUUAGUUGGUGGAGCGAUUUGUCUAGUUAAUUACGUUAACGAACGAGACCUCAGCCUGCUAACUAGCUAUGCAGAGGUGAUCCUUCAUGGCUAACUUCUUAGAGGGACUAUGGCUACUUAGGCCAAGGAAGUUUGAGGCAAUAACAGGUCUGUGAUGCCCUUAGAUGUUUUAGGCCGCACGCGUGCUACACUGAUGUAUUCAACGAGUCUAUAGCCUUGGCCGACAGGCCCGGGUAAUCUUUGAAAUUUCAUUAUGAUGGGGAUAGAUCAUUGCAAUUGUUGGUCUUCAAAGAGGAAUUCCUAGUAAGCGCGAGUCAUUAGCUCACGUUGACUACGUCCCUGCCCUUUGUACACACCGCCCGUCGCUCCUACCGAUUGAAUGGUCUGGUGAAGUGUUCGGAUCGUGGCAACGUGGACAAUCUGCCACUCACGACGUCGCGAGAAGUCCACUGAACCUUAUCAUUUAGAGGAAGAAGAAGUCGUAACAAGGUUUUCAUAGGUGAACCUGUGGAAG
rnacentral:rRNA from 1 species